rnacentral:rRNA from 1 species
UACGUAGGGUGCAAGCGUUCAUCGGAAUUACUGGGCGUAAAGCGUGCGCAGGCGGUUGUGCAAGUCCGAUGUGAAAUCCCCGGGCUCAACCUGGGAACUGCAUCCGAAACUGCCUUGCUCGAGUAUGGGAGAGGGAAGCGGAAUUUCCGGUGUAGCGGUGAAAUGCGUAGAUAUCGCAAGGAACAUCAGUGGCGAAGGCGACUUCCUGGACCAAUACUGACGCUCAGGUGCGAAAGCGUGGGGAGCAAACAGG